rnacentral:lncRNA from 1 species
UUUUUUUUAUACUGGGAAUUGCACUUAAAAAUUUCAAUUGGGCCCUUUUUUUGUUGUACAAUUUUAAUUAUAGCCCAAUUAAAUUAACAAAAUCCAAAAUACAAUAUAAUCAACAAAUCACAUGUUAUGAUAGUAUAACCAUAAAGCCAAUUUCCCAAACCCUUUUUUACUACUAAUUGUUAUAUUUGACUCUUUUUUUUAUCACAGAACAUGAUAAAAUUUUAUUGGACUCUUAACUAGAUGUAAAUAAACUUAGGUAGAAUAUUAGGCCAACUCAGAAACAAGAAAUAAGUAGCAAAACUUGUUUUAAUCUAAGUUUAAAUACGAGACAAUACAGUCUGGAUUGAAACAAAACAGCGACCAAAAUAAGAAAAGCAGCUACCAUCCAUAAUACCAUAGCAAACUCAGAGCCUUCUACCUCUUCUACCACUCUUCUACCAUAGCAAACUCGUUAAUUCUUCCAAAUAUGUCUCUCUUAUUGAUAUUCCUGCACAUGAAAUUAAUAUGUUAGCAACAAAUUGGAAGUAUAUGAAUUUAAAAUAUGCAAAAUAAAGUAUAUACUUACAAAACAUACUUAAAUAUCAUAUAAAAAAACUUAAAUAUAAGAAAAACAAAAACAAGUUGAAAUCAAAUUAAGAAAUCUACAAGUCAGGAAACAGAGCAAGGCAGUACAAACACCAUAAACCACCUCAAAUCUAAAAAUCAGAGUGGAAGCCAAUGACAAGUAAUAAAAACUACAGGAAAAUGUUCAAGCAAAGAUAUCAUAGAUCUAAUAACAUAGAUAAGUUAAAAAUCAAAGAAUUUUAUGUUUUAAUAACAAACCCACCAAUCACAAAUGUUCAAGGAAAGAUAUCAUAGAUCUAAUAAUCAUAGAUCUAAUAAUAUAGAUACGUUAAAAAUCAAAGAAUUUGAUGUUUGAAUAACAAACCCUAAAAAUAGUAACAACAAUAACAAACCCUAAAAAUCGAGUGAAGAUGAAUGAGAAUGAUGAAAUAGAGAGGGUUGAAACGGAUAAAAGGAAUGAAAAUUAUGUCAAAACAGUAUUUAGAAAACGAGCACAAAAAAGAAAGCGAACACGGGAAAGAAAAACAGGUUAUGGAUGAGAAUGAUACCUACAGUUCUUCGACAACAAUGGAUGGGUGUGAAACGAAGGUGGACAGAGCGGCGGUGGUGAUGAUAUUUGACGUGCUUCACUCCUCCUCUCUCUCUGGCUGCGCUAGGGUUUGUUUGUGGAAAGAAAGAGAAUACGCGUAACAUUAUAAAAAUUAUAAAAAAUAUAUUAGGCAAGUAACACGGGUCGGUUCGGGCAUCCGUGGAUCAUAUAUUGUAAACCGGAACCGACUGCCCAAGACCAGACAAAACCGC